GAUGAAGAACGCAGUGAAAUGCGAUAAGUAGUGUGAAUUGCAGAAUUCAGUGAAUCAUCGAAUCUUUGAACGCACAUUGCGCCCGCCAGUAUUCUGGCGGGCAUGCCUGUCCGAGCGUCAUUUCAACCCUCGAACCCCUCCGGGGGGUCGGCGUUGGGGAUCGGCCCUGCCUCUUGGCGGUGGCCGUCUCCGAAAUACAGUGGCGGUCUCGCCGCAGCCUCUCCUGCGCAGUAGUUUGCACACUCGCAUCGGGAGCGCGGCGCGUCCACAGCCGUUAAACACCCAACUUCUGAAAUGUUGACCUCGGAUCAGGUAGGAAUACCCGCUGAACUUAAGCAUAUCAAUAAGCGGAGGA
rnacentral:misc_RNA from 1 species